ACAGGCUGUUGGCACCCCUGGGCAGGUGAGGCGCUCAGGCUCCAAGGAGAGGAAACCCGAGCUGUGAGAGAGACCGUCAGAGGACCAGGGGGGCCUUCAGAGGGCAUCUGAUCACUCAUACCCUGCUUGCUCCGUUUGGGAAUUACUCCUUGCCUAUGAAUUCCUAAAGAUCCUCCGGAGACCACUAGACCCACCGGGGUGCUCUUGAGCAGGAAAUACUGCUUACGGGCUUAACAGUAUGCAAGCCUAAGUGUGAAGCACUUCACCGCUCUCACAUGUGGAUGGAUGGGGCGCCAGGCAGAAUUGAAGUUAUCUCCUUUAGCCAAACGUACAAUGUGAACGACAGCCAUAACAGCAUCAAGAAGUUUGAUUCUGGGUAAAAAUACCAAUAUUCUUGUGUAAUAAAGAAAGUUCUACUUAAGACUUA